rnacentral:rRNA from 1 species
GACGAACGCUGGCGGCGUGCUUAACACAUGCAAGUCGAACGGAAAGGCCCUGCUUUUGUGGGGUGCUCGAGUGGCGCAAGGGUGUGUAACACGUGAGUAUCCUGCCCUUGACUUUGGGAUAACUUCAGGAAACUGGGGCUAAUACCGGGUAGGAGCUCCUGCUGCAUGGUGGGGGUUGGAAAGUUUCGGCGGUUGGGGAUGGACUCGCGGCUUAUCAGCUUGUUGGUGGGGUAGUGGCUUACCAAGGCGUUGACGGGUAGCCGGCCUGAGAGGGUGAACGGCCACAUUGGGACUGAGAUACGGCCCAGACUCCUACGGGAGGCAGCAGUGGGGAAUAUUGCACAAUGGGCGGAAGCCUGAUGCAGCAACGCCGCGUGCGGGAUGACGGCCUUCGGGUUGUAAACCGCUUUCGCCUGUGACGAAGCGUGAGUGACGGUAAUGGGUAAAGAAGCACCGGCUAACUACGUG